AUGAAUGAAUGUAACGCAUGAAAAAUUCUCAAUGAAUGUAACGCGGCAUGCAGAAUUCGCAAUGAAUUUAAUGCGUUAAAUGAAGUUAAAUCUGUUUCUGCUCUGAAUUAUCAUCUUCCAUUUUCUCACAGUGGCUUCUAUCAAAGAAUGAGUCUUUCAUUUCAACAGUAUUCUUCUACUACUUGUACGUUGCUUAUAUUUUAGAGCGUAGGGUUCAGUGUAGUCAUUUGUAGGGUUUCCAUCUGCCAAUUUGUCAAGUAUUUCCAGUUUACUUGGGCAUAGAUGAGAAAUUAUACAGAUUUCAUCAAGGAACCAACUUUUGUCUUCAUUUUUGCAUCCAAGAGGAGUGCGUUGUGCUUUAAGGUUGAUGAAUUCCUAAGCUCUACUAGUUAUAAUAUUAAUGUUUAUUUCAAAUUUGCAAGACAAUGACAAUUCUUAUUUAGAAGGCAAUGCCAUUGCCUUCGAUUAUGUUUUUUUAUUUUUCUUAUUUGAAGGCGAUGCUGCUAGAUGGAUGUAAAGGAUUAUAUGUUAUCUGGAAGGUAA